AGCUAUAUGUAUUAAUAUAUAGUUAUUUCUGCUCCAUGAAUGUUAAAUAGCCGCAGUACUCUGACUGUGCAAAGGUAGCAUAAUCAGUUGGCUUAUAAUUGAAGUCUGGUAUGAAUGAAAAUAUGGGUGGUAGCUGUCUUUAGUAUAUUUUUUUAAACUUAUUAGACAAGUGAAAAUACUUGUGUUUAUAAAAAAGACGAGAAGACCCUAGAAACUUUAAAUGGUUUUUGUUGGGGCGACAGAAUUACAUAUAACUAAUUAUAUAAGACAUGACACAAAUAUAGUAAGAAUAAGUUACUCUAGGGAUAACAGCAUAAUUUUAAUAGUUUGUGACCUCGAUGUUGGACUAGGUAUUUAAUUCUUUAGGCAAGGAUUAAAAAUGCUCUGUUCGAGCAGCCAUACCUACAU
rnacentral:rRNA from 1 species